UGAUUAUUUAUCACAGCCAUUUUGCAUAGUGCUAAUUACAAUGACAGCGAUAUCAUCAUAGUCUAUGAUCAAAGAGUGAAUUUCAGUAUGCUAAAGGUUCUUCUAUCAGCAUAAUAUACUACUUUAUCAGGCACAGUCUUUUUGGAUGUCCCCUAUGGUUGACACAGUUCAGGUGAGUUAACAUCUACAAAGUAAAUCAA
rnacentral:lncRNA from 1 species